rnacentral:lncRNA from 1 species
GUCCACUCAGGCAUCAUGUACGUCCCAUCUGCAUGGGCAUGGGGCCGAUCCUACGCGCGUAUCUUGUUGUGUGUAGGCAGACCAGUUUACGCGUGUCACAUUGCACGCGAACAAGGUCGGGCGUCGCACAUUGUGCACGCGCUAUCUACGCAAUAGGCCAAUGCGGAUAGGCCUAUGUGCUUGGGGCCUACACACAGUAGGCCUGUGUGCAACACUCUACGCACAGUAGGCCUGCACACUAUAGGCCCUGCGCAUGGCAGGCUAGGCCUACAGCAUGUGGUUCGCCUAGGCGAGGCGUACUGUCGCCUCGGGCAUUGUGUCGUCGCCCCCUUGGCCAUCGUGCGUCGCCUUGAGCGGUGGUCCACCACCUUAGUUGGUGAGCUGCUGCCGGUGGAGGAAAUUUUCCUCUGUUUUU